AAUCAACGCUGGCGGCGUGCCUCAGACAUGCAAGUCGAACGCGAAAGUUUCCUUCGGGAGACAAGUAGAGUGGCGCACGGGUGAGUAACACGUAGGUAAUCUACCUUUGGAUGGGGAAUAACAACCGGAAACGGUUGCUAAUACCGCAUAAUGCAGCGGCACCUAAUGGUGACAGUUGUUAAAGCGGGGGAUCGAAAGACCUCGCGUCUGAAGAGGAGCCUGCGGCGGAUUAGCAGUUGGUAAGGUAAUGGCUUACCAAGGCUACGAUCCGUAACCGGCCUGAGAGGGCGGUCGGUCACACUGACACUGACAUACGGGUCAGACUCCUACGGGAGGCAGCAGUCGGG
rnacentral:rRNA from 1 species